rnacentral:rRNA from 1 species
CCUACGGGAGGCAGCAGUGAGGAAUAUUCGUCAAUGGGCGCGAGCCUGAACCAGCCAAGUAGCGUGAAGGAUGACUGCCCUACGGGUUGUAAACUUCUUUUAUCAAGGAAUAAAGUGAGGCACGUGUGCCUGUUUGUAUGUACUUUAUGAAUAAGGAUCGGCUAACUCCGUGCCAGCAGCCGCGGUAAUACGGAGGAUCCGAGCGUUAUCCGGAUUUAUUGGGGUUAAAGGGAGCGGAGAUGGGUUGUUACGUCAGUUGUGAAAGUUUGCGGCUCAACCGUAAAAUUGCAAUUGAUACUGGCAGCCUUGAGUACAGUUGAGGUAGGCGGAAUUCGUGGUGUAGCGGUGAAAUGCUUAGAUAUCGCGAAGAACUCCGAUUGCGAAGGCAGCUUACUAACCUGCCACUGACAUUGAUGCUCGAAAGUGUGGGUAUCAAACAGGAUUAGAUACCCGUGUAGUC